CCCUGACGGAAGCAGGCUGAACAUGUUGAAGCCAGGGUGGGAGCUGUCCUUGAUGAUGUUUGCUGCUCUGCUGAGGCAGCGGAAGGAGUAAAUGUCCAUCAGGGAGGGGAGAGGGCAGCCGAUGAUCUUUUGUGCUGUCUUGACCACACUCUGAAGCCUCGCUCUAUCCGCCUUGGUGCAGCUGCUGUACCAUACCGUGAUGCAGUAGCAGGAAGACACCUGUGCUCACUGCCGUAACACCUCAGUCUUCAGUUUGCAGCAAAACAACAUGGAUGUCAGAGCUCUCGGCAUCAGACUGUUGAUGACCUUUAUGAUUCUGCUGGGUGUUCAGGGUGAGAGAGUAGAGGCGACUCUUUUCCCUUCUGAGGACGCACCUUGGAUCCUUGCCAUUGCUUUAUUGAACGCUCUGGUGCUGUUGCUUGGAAUGUAUUUUGGCAACGAUUGCUGGUACAGAAAUAAAG
ensembl:lncRNA